CCUCCUAUAUAGUCUUCUCUCUCCUCCCGUCUUCUAGCAGUAGCUUGUUUCCCAUCUCCUUUUUAACAGUUCUCUUUCGUUGUCGUUCCUUUCUUCUCCCUUCCUCUUCUUCCUCUGAUCUUAAUGUCACCGAGUCCAAAAGCUAUUUUAACCAGCAGCAUGGCACUUCCUGACAAAGGAAUCAUCGAGUGACAAAGCUGUCAGGAGAGGGGAUUGUUUGGAGGACCAGGGGUGAGGAGAAGGUUAUGCCACAUGUUGUCCCGAUUGUCUCCCAAAUGCCAGAUAAGGGCUCAUCCACCAGCGCCUGUUUGGAGUGCAGACAGAUUGAUACUUGCCAGACCGUAUUUGAGGACCUGAGCCCUAGAACCAUGCCCCAGGACUACCUGACAUGAUGACUCCUUGC